rnacentral:misc_RNA from 1 species
UGGAUCGAUCCCCCCGGUGGUUCCAGCGUCAGCGGUGCGGCGAGGCCUCAGUCAUGAUGCCGGCAGCCGGAGGAGCGCCGGCACCACGCUACCUCGCCGCCUGACGCGUCCCGUGCUGCUAGCCUGUCCUGCCGCACCCUCACCCUCCCCCCAACCCGCUGCUACAGCAGCCCCAGACUCGUGACUCCCUCACCUCAGCGACCCGACACCCGCGGCCUUGACUUAGUCCUCAGGAGGCCCUGCAGACAUCCACACCAUGGGAGGUGAAGAGGAAAGUCCCCGUCAGGAGGCGGAUGACAGCAUCAGAGUCAUCUGCCGCAUCCGUCCCCUCAACAAGAGCGAGGAGGCGGCGGGGAGCAGAUUCGUAUGCUCCUUUCCGUCCUCCCGCGGCCAGGAGGACCAGAUGGUCUCCGUUGGGGGGAAGGUUUACCUGUUUGACCGAGUAAUCAAGCCCAACUCAACCCAGGAGAAGGUGUAUGACAUUGUAGCCAAGGACAUCGUCAAAGAUGUACUCAAUGGAUACAAUGGAACCAUCUUUGCCUAUGGCCAGACCUCCUCAGGCAAGACCCACACAAUGGAGGGCAAGCUGGGCGACCCCACAUACCAGGGUAUCAUCCCAAGAAUUGUGCAUGAUAUCUUCAACCACAUCUACAACAUGGAGGAGGCGCUGGAGUUCCACAUCAAGGUGUCUUACUUUGAAAUCUACAUGGACAAGAUCAGGGACUUGCUGGAUGUGUCCAAAGUCAACCUGUCAGUGCAUGAGGACAAGAACCGUGUCCCGUCCGUUAAGGGAGCAACGGAGAGGUUUGUCUCGUCACCAGAGGAAGUGUUUGAGACUAUUGAGAUGGGCAAGUCCAAUAGGCAUGUCGCUGUCACCAACAUGAAUGAGCACAGUUCUCGAUCACACAGUGUUUUCCUGAUCCAAGUAAAGCAGGAAAACAUUGAGAAUCAGAAGAAACUCUUAGGAAAGCUGUACCUGGUGGAUCUGGCUGGUUCUGAAAAGGUGAGCAAAACAGGUGCUGAGGGAGCUGUGCUGGAUGAGGCUAAGAACAUCAACAAAUCACUCUCAGCACUUGGAAAUGUGAUUGCUGCUCUCGCUGAUGGGAAGACCCACGUGCCUUACCGAGAUUCCAAGCUAACCCGCAUCCUGCAAGAGAGUCUGGGAGGCAAUGCCCGCACCACCAUCGUCAUCUGUGCCUCCCCAGCCUCCUUCAAUGAGGCGGAGACAAGGUCCACCCUCGACUUUGGAAAGAGAGCCAAGACAAUCAAGAACUGUGUCACUGUGAAUGAGGAGCUAACAGCAGAGGAGUGGAAGAGGAGAUACAACAAGGAGAAGGAGAAGAACGUUAAGAUGAAGGCACAAGUAGAGUGUAUGGAAGCAGAGUUAGCUCGCUGGCGUAGUGGAGAGAAGGUGUCCUCGGAAGAACAGAUUACCGUCGACAUGGAGAAGUCAAUGGUGUCGUCAGUUGUUGAAGAGGCCCCCAAGAAGCCAGCAGCUCCUCCCAUGAGCAACGAAGUGCGGGAUGCCUGGGAGAAGGAGAGGGAGCAGCUGUACCAGAGCCUGGAUGAGAAGGAUGAGGAGAUCAACCAGCACAGCCAGCUGGCAGAGAAGCUGAAGGAGCAAAUGCUGGAGCAAGAAGAGCUAAUUGCUGCCACUCGGCGUGACUACGAGGUGCUGCAGACGGAAAUGGCGAGGAUCCAGGCCGAGAACGACUCUGCCAAGGAUGAGGUGAAGGAGGUGCUGCAGGCGCUGGAGGAGCUGGCCCUCAACUAUGACCAGAAGAGCCAAGAGGUGGAAAGCAAGUGCAAGGAGAAUGAGACACUCACCGAGGAGCUCACUGACAAACAAACAGCCCUCACGUCCAUGCAGGGAGAACUACAACAGAUCCGGGACUCAUCGGUUCACCAGAAAAGAAGGAUGAACGAAAUGUUGUGCUCGCUGCUCAAUGACCUCGGGGAAGUGGGACACGUGGUGGGCGGCACUGCUGGCGACCUUUCCCUCAAGAAUUCUGGUGACCCCAACAAACUUGAAGAAGAGUUUACAAUGGCACGCCUCUACGUGUCCAAGAUGAAGAGUGAGGUUCGGAAUCUUGUCCAGCGGUGCAGCACUCUGGAAAACUUCCAGGGUGACUGCAACAAGAAGAUCGAUGAAUAUGAGAAGGAGCUGAGUGACUGCCGUCUACUCAUCAGCCAGCAUGAGGCUCGCAUGAAGACCUUGCAGACAUCCAUGCAGGAGGCAGAGACACGCAAGAGGCAGCUGGAAGAACAGGUUGACUCCCUGAGUGAAGAGGUUGCCAAACUGAAGGCAGCUGAGAGCCUGAAUGACUCUGAGGGCUUGUCCAAGGAGGCCCUAGAGAAGCAGAUGGAGACGCACAGUGAGCUGCACCAGAAGCAGGUGGCUCAGCUGCGGCAGGAGAUCAACACCAAACAGGCCCUGGUAGAGGAGCUCAAGGACCACAACCAGAAGCUGAGUGUGGAGCAUGAACAGCUGAAGGUGGAGUACAGCAAGCUGAAGGCAGAGGAGGCAGAGAAGAGUGCCCGCCUCCACGAGCUAAUCUUGCGUCACUGGACUCCCCGAGCCUACCCAAGCCUUCAGAAUGAGCGUCGGGAGCAGGCCCACCAUGACCUGAAGGGACUAGAGGACACUGUGGCCAAGGAACUUCAGACUCUCCACAACCUUAGGAAGAUGUUUGUACAAGACCUUCAAGCUCGUGUCAGAAAGUCAGCAGCAGGGGAAGACGAGGACAUUCUGGGAGGAUCAGUCGCCCAGAAACAGAAGAUCAGCUUCCUUGAAAACAACCUGGACCAGCUGACCAAGGUACACAAGCAGCUAGUGAGGGACAAUGCUGACCUGAGAUGUGAACUGCCCAAGCUGGAGAAGAGACUAAGAGCCACCAUGGAGAGAGUGAAGAUCAAUGAUGAGGGAGCCUUGCUCAGUUCCUCGCUCAGGCUAGAGGAGCACAGACCACCACACAACCUCCCGGCCGUGCCUAGUCUUGAGCAACGUCUUGUGGCAACCAUGGCCCGGGUCAAGGCCCUGGAGACAGCUCUGAAGGAGGCUAAGGAGGGUGCCAUGAGGGACCGUAAGCGCUACCAGUAUGAGGUGGACAGGAUCAAGGAGGCUGUGAGGCAGAAGAACCUAGCUAGGAGGGGACAAGGAGCACAUAUUGCCAAACCAAUCCGCACGGGUCCAGCCAGCCUCCUGUCCCGGCCUGGUGCCCUGGGCAUGAUGGGACGUGCACCGAGCAACACUCCACUACCACGCCAGUUUGUAGCCUCCAACAGCUAGACACACUUCAUUCUGAGCUCCCAGGAUGCCAGCAGUAUGUAGCAGCCUGGCACACUGUAAGGCAGCACCCAUCCACCCACACACCCACACCACCACCGGCCUCUCACACUCACCUGGACUGAAGUAAAAAAAAAAAAAAUAUCUAGCGUUCAUCUGCCUUUGUAAUUCCUAAGCUAUAGCUACUGUUGGCCUGAGUGAUAUUCAUCUGUUAGUCUCCUGCAUCAUGCAUAGGUUUUGUGUGUGUUGUUUUAGGGCUCGGUGUCUUGUGUAUUGCCUCUGUUUCCACACCUCUGUUGAGUACUUUGGUCUGGUGAGGAUGUCUGGUGAUGGCAGAAUAUUAUAACUGGAGGGAAUUUAUCAACACCCAAGAUUGGCGAGAGAUGUGAACCUUGAACUUAAUGACAACAAGUAUGAAAGUUUUCUAAUCAAUUGUGAGUGUCAUCAAUCGAUUAAAAAAGGCCUCUUAGAAUGUAUUAACUGUAAUAUGUUACUACUUGGCUUGCCUGUAUUGGGAGAUAAGUUUGUGAUGCUUUCCUUGAUUCUAAUUCAGUUAAGAUAAUUUCAUUCAUCAGUUCAGAUAUCUUUGAGGUCGGUUUACCUGAGAUUGAAGAAAAGAUAUGCAAUUAAUUUAAUAUCUAAUCCCCCAUGAUAAUUUGUGAUAUCUUCCCAAUUGUCCUUCUUUGUCUAUCAUGUCAAAUCUAUUAACUCAGCCAGCUGCCUGGCACACAUCUUGUCUCCUCUCAUACAAUCUAUCCGUGUUUUCUUGCCUGGGUUCAAAACAGACGUCCAUGCUGUAUGGUUUUCCUUAGGAGACUUUGAGUGCCUGCUAAUUUCAUGCCAUAGUGAUUUUAUUUAUUUUUUUUUCCUCUGUGAUGGGAUUUCUUGGAAUAGCUAGUAUUUGUUAGUUAUAAUGGAACCUAAAAAAAUAUGUCAGGCUGCGUGAUUGUCAUGGUUUAGAGGAAAAUUGGCACGAGACAAUAGUACAGCAUAUUUUCUGAAAGACCGAGGGACAUUUCUUCGUUUUGAAUUUUGGCGCGCAAAUCGAAGCAGGGCGUUCCAAUAAUACGAGUAUAUAAAACAUUAACAGAGCCUUUCUGCUAAUAGACACACCAAAUAACAUACAUUUGAAAUUUAUAUGAUACAAAAAUGAGUAAAUUGAACCUAAAAAUGCUAAAAACACGUCAAUUGAGGAGUAUGAACACAUUUUGUAAGACUGGUGUCGUUGAUGGAGCAGAGGCAAUGUCAACAGAACUCAGGUGGAAGGGUGCGGAGUGGCGGCCGCUGCUGGUAUAAUGCUCAAUAUUGCGUGUGUGUGGCGCAGGACCCUUCACUCAACACCACGGCGAUGACUCAGAGGCCUCAACACCUCCACUGGACGCCGCGUGGCGUUUAUCUUUGGAAACACCCGGGGUCCGAUCCAAGUGAAACCAGCGCACCACACGAGGGAUCCCACCGCUGCCACCACUGUACAGCUGGCAGCUCACUCCCUGAACCACCGGGAAGCUGAACCAAAGUGUCAAGCCAAAGAGGAGCAGCUGGGGAUCAAACCUAUAAGACAACACUCAAGGCACACGACACACAACACAUGAUGCCUCUCCAGUCAAGCCAUGAUGAACACCAAGGCCCAAGUGGAAUUCGGUCCACCUUGACUGUCCAGCCACUAUAAUUAAGUCUUUGUUAAGCUGUUUUAGGUAAUGUUUCAAUGGGUCCUUUAUUCUGCACCAAAGACAGUGAAUCUCGUGUUGUUAAUGAAUUCUGCUGAGUGUUUUGUAGGUGAUGAAUUUUGUCACCCAUGUUGUGGCACUAAGAGAGAGUGAGAGAGAAUUAUUAUAUACAUACUAUAUACAUUAUUGUGGGUGUUUGUUAAGCAUAUAAAUACCUGUAUAGAUUUCAUUAGGAAUCACUAUUGCAAGAACUACUAUAUUCGGCCUUCAGUAUAACAUGAGUACCAUAUCAAAAGGCAGUUUCUUGUUUAUCUGUAGCACGAGUGGUAUGUUUGAAAAUUUAUGAUCAGAGGGAGAGUAGUGUGUGUCUCAGUUGCAGUAUUGGCAUCUCAUGAUUAUAUUGCUGACACCAACCUUGUUUUUAUUGGGAGUGUAUGUUGAGGAUCAAAAAGGUGAAUUUAGUUUUAUCAGUCAGAAUUUUGUUAUGCACAGAAUGAAAUGAAUAUUUACAGGACACUAAUUUUUAGUGAAGUAUCUCUCGUGCUACAGGAAUAAAUAAGAAUGCAGUGGGUUGAUCUAACUGAAAUGGUGAGUCAUUAUCCUUUACUCUCAAGGCUGUGUGUUGACUUAAGUUAGCUCUUACUUUUAUCACACUAUUGCUGCUUAAGUUCUUUAUGUAUUUAAGUACACUGUACCUAUUUAUUGUGACCUCGUUCACAUCAAGGCUGUGGAUUAGUUGAGCAUGAUUGUUAUGUAUGUAUAUCUCACUUUAUGUAUACAGUCAAGGCUUGAAAACUUUUGAAUGUAUGCUGGAUAAAGAAAUUACAAUAAUUUUUGCUGUGUAUGAUUUAUUGAGUGUUGUAGCCCUAAGUCAGUGUUGUGAAGGGAACAAGUCCAGUCGGUGCCCUGUGUUUUGUACUGAUAUUACUUUACAUUAAAUAACAUUAUCCUUGCUCACCGGUAAUGGGCAGAUUGGGCUUGUGUGUUUUUUUAGUUUGAUUUUGAGAAUUAUGCUUUGUUGCCAAAGAAUUUUGUACAUUAUUAUUAUCUUUACUUUUAUUAUCAUCAUUAUCAUUAUUAUUAUUAUUAUUAGAAUACACCAUGGGAUUUUCAAGCCCUGACAUCAAAUUUCUUCAUCUCUGUUCACCAUGAUGUAGUGCUGCGUUACAUCAUUUCCUUUCAUUCUUGCACAUCACAAGCAUGAAACUCAACUUUUCCAUGGUGAAAAGUGGGACACUUCUGUAAGGCUUGUGCACUGUGGAGGAGAUGCGGAUGACUCCUCCACUCGGGAACUCACCUGCUGGGCUAUAACAGGGUGCACAAUUUUCCUCCGGACCUGAUGUAUAUAUGUGUAUGUGUGGUGUGUGUUCCGCUAACCGUGGCAUCCAUUGUGCACUCCAUGUGGUGGUGCGGGAGGGAGAAUGUGGUGCGACUCAGCACAGAGUCGCAUGCUUGGAAGUCUGACAUAUGUUGUUGCACAUUUCUCUGUUUUGAUUCGUGCAUUACUCAUUUUUGGAUUGACGAGUGAGUGUAAGCCUUCGUCGUAUUUAAUUAAGUAAGAGUGAGAGAGUUGGUAAAGAGGGCCCAAGUAAUUUACACAGUAGACGCCACUAUCAUCAUCAUCAUCGCCACCAUCAUUGUCACGGUCAUCGCCAUCAUAGAGUUACUGUACACACCUGAUGAGUGUUGAGACAGACGGGGGAGUUGGGCUGUUGCCGUGGUGUUGACUAAAACUACACACCUCAUAGGCUAAUGAUGUGCUGUCUCUUGUGACUUUUAACCACAUGUACAGAUAAUAUUAACUUAUAUACAAGGGAGGUAAGCUGAGAGUGUUGUAUUUUAUGACUAUGAGGGAGUUUUUUUUCCCGUAUAUAUAUAUUAUCAUAUUCUUAAGUGCUUUUGAAAAUAUUUAACAGUAAGGAAACUACCUUAAUAGAUUACCAAAAGUAUACUCAACCCUCAAGAUCUCCCGAGCAUUUGGUGACAAUGGAUGUAUGCUGGCACUAGAUGAGGGCAUAUAGUGUUCAUUCCCAUUAAUAAUACAAUUUUAUUCCUAGGUGGUUUUCAAGAUAUUUAACCAUAGAAAAAGCUCCCAUUUGGGUUGUUCAAAAAUAUAUUCAAACCUUAAGAUUCAUCUAGUAUGUGGUAUCAGUGCAUUCUUACUUCUUUAUCAUGUAUUAUCAUAAUAUUCAUCAAUGGUUUUUUAAUAUAUCUAACCACAAUAAAAGCACCAUAACAGGUGGUCAUAUUCAUACUCAAUUCUGAAGAUCUGCCUAACAUCUGAUGCUGUUACCUGUCACUAUAAAUGAGAUCGCAAUGUUACCCCAACUCCUUCCUCCACAAGCUGGAUGCUUUGAGUCACUCCCAGGAUGCCACAUGUAAAGCUUUUCAGGGAAGGGAGACUACACAGGUGAAACUUUAUUUAUGUAGUUCUAUGUUCUGAUUUACAAAUGUAGAAUCUGCAUUUACCAAUAGAAAUCUGGGAGUUACUAAGAAGCAAUGAAAAUGCAUUCAAUAGAAAAUUUGAAAUUGAUUUUGUCCCUGAAUUAGAAGUGUUCAAUUUUUAUGAGUUUCAAGGAACAAACUUGUUCAUAAAUUGAGAUUCACCUGCACUCAUUUGUGAUAAAGAUGAACUACCUAAGGUAUCACGAAUACUUGUUGCAUUAUCAAUACAUCUCAUGCAGUUUAUUCAUGUGGAGAGUAAAUACACUAUUCCAAACACAGCAUACUGUAAUAUUAUAUCCUUUGAGAUCAAUCCAUACCUAACAACAGUAGUGUCACACCUGUACUCAGUGUUGGGAAGACCCUGUUAGUUGUCAUUGAGAAGAGACUGUCAGUACUGCCGUGAGAGGCUCGUUUGCCAGGUUGUGACGUUAAUGGUAUAAGUGUUUAUGUAGAAAGAACUUGUAAUUACACACUUCAUGGUUGCUGUGUUGAAAUAUAUAUGGUGCAUGUAGACACUUCAUUACUCAAGACCCUGUGUUGUGGCUCGGUGGCGGGUCUGUCUCUGUCAGUAAUGUGUAAUCACCACAUGUAAUACAGUGUUUUCUGCCUGUUUUUUCAGUGUUUCAAGGAGUUGUUGAAAUACUGUACUACUCUCUGUGUCAAUAACUUACAUGCAUAAUUAUAUCCUCUUAUAUUUGUGUGUAUUAUCUUGUUGAAGAAAUAAACCAAGUCCCUAAGUGUUGUGUCACACGCUGGAGCUCACUGACACCUGGUGGAGGCGCAGGUGACCCGAGGUGACCUGGUUGUAGCGGGUCGUUUAUGUCACGUGGGGCAUUACUUGCAUUACAUUUUUGAGGUUGUCUUCAUCCUCUUCGUUCACACCACAGUUCAGGAAAUAUCACGUCCCGAUGUUUUUGCACCACAAGCACGAGAGGUACCGAAGAAAAGGCUUUAUGUUCUCCUGGUCCAAAGACAACGUGUGCUUGGCAUUGUCCUCAUGUUUUGUGUUGGUAAUCCAUCACUAAUGAUUUAUGCAUUUGAAUUAGCCUUUGUAUAGAGGCUGGACGUCUCUUCAGUCUAAUACUGUUGCCUGAGGAGUGUAGUGGGAUGGCCUGGGGCUCAGAGGUGUUAGUUCCUACGCACACUGUGUGUAGUGUGAGGCUCACUCUUGGUUGUCAUUACUGUCGGCUGUUUAUUAUGUUUCUAGUCCUCCGCUGCUCCAGGUGAUGCCGACAACAACCCUGCUUGUGUUGGGCAGCUAAGUGUCCUGGCAGAGGUGUGGGUGUGUGUGAUGGGGCUGCUGCCUGCUGCCUGCUGGCUGGGGAGUGUGGGGAUACCAAAACAUUGCCAAAGAUAUAGAAGAAAUCAAAUGAAAUGUAAUGUUUACUUAAAAGAAGAUUAAAAGGAAAACCUGGUGUUGAAAAUACAUUAUAAUUUUUCUGGAAAAGAAAUUCAUCUUGUUAAUGAAAAAAAAAACUGAUAAGCCUUUGUUGACUGAUCACUGAUUUUAACAAAUUUAUACCAAAUAUUCACAAUGAGGAUUUUACAAGAAGCAAUGCUUCAAAUUUUUUCCUGUGAGGAGGAUGAAAAACAUAGUGAAAAACAUAUUGGGAAAUGAAGCAGAAUCAUAAUUCUUAUAUAAUUCUAAUGUGUUAAGAGUUACAGACAUGAAGACUAGCAGGUGCAGUUGAUACCAAAUAGUUGCAGGACAGUUGAUUAAGCUAUAGUCCAAUAAAAGCUUUAAAUACCAAUUAUGUACUCAUGAUUGUUUUGGGGAGGAGGAGCAAGGUGAGGGAGAGAGAGAGUGCUCUAAGGAACCUGCUAUAUAAGAGAAAGAGAGAGAGAGAGAGAGAAAGCAAGCAAGCAAGUGAGCAGAAUCUCUGGAUCUAAUAACAACUAGGUAUUGUAUAUUAGUAGUCCCCUCCAUAGUAACUCUUAAGGUAUGCAAGUUACACACCAUGUUCCCAGUCCUAGCAUGGCUCUUACUUAGCACCACGGCAAGAUGUAAUGCUGUCCUGAUUAUGUACACAGACACAUGCAUAAUGUUGCUUCCUCUCCGCAGAGCAUGUCAUCAUGUACGUAUACUACUGUCCCACCUUUCCGUUCUUGGUGUGUAGUGAAGAAAGAGCAUAUAUUAUAUCUCCCUAUACUGCAAAAACUCUGCAUUUAUUUGUUCACGACGAAGCGAUGGUUUCUUGAUUUAGAUUCCCGAUGGUGUGGUGUAUGUAUGUGUGUGCGUGCGUGUCUUGAUUUUUACGUGUCGAGGAGUCUUUUCAUGGCGGCUGUUUGUGUGGCGUUAUUUUAAAAGUCUUGUACUACUUACACCGUGUCCACAUUCCAAUACCUGUCCCACACAGUCAGACAUGUACUGGUGGCUACACUUUCAGAAUAUUGUCUUGCAUGGGAUUAUCAUAUAACACUUUGAACUGUAGACCAACGCGAGGAUUUAUUGUCACUCCUCUAAUCUGAAUCAGUAGAAAAGCAGAUGUAAUUGGAUGUUGAGAGGUAGUUGUAAUCAAAAUUUAGGAAUGGUAAUCAGACAUUGAAAAGGAAGAUCAGUAUGAUAUAAAUUCACUUGUAGGCUAUGAAGAAGACAGUUGAAAAUUUAGAAAGAUAUGUUAUUGGGUAUUAUGAAAAGUAGUGAUGAAGAUGUUUAAAUUUUAGCCACAAGGAUGCCAUUUCCAUGUUUUGGAUAAUGGGACAUUCCUGUAACUCACACCAUGAGACUCAUUGUUCAGUCACAUCUUGUCACCACAUCAAUAAGGAAAUGACUUGUAAUAAUGUUAAGAAUUAUAAUAAUAAUAAUAAUAAUAAUAAUAAAAGCUAUUUUGUAUGCCUGUGGUACUGUAUCCUUGUAUCAUACACCUACUAAAAUGUAUACAUA